AGGGAGCUACUGAUAGCGACGCCCGUUGUAUUCAGCCCUCCCCCCCGGCUGCACCUUGGAAUUGCCGAAGAAGCUUUUUUAAAACUCCAGAUGGGCCGGGUGCGGCGGUUCACACCUAUAAUCCCAGCACUCUGAGAGGCCGAGGCGGGAGGAUCGCUUGAGCCCAGGAUGACCUCCUGGGCAACAUAGUGGGACUCCGUCUCUACAAAUCAAAAAACAAACAAAAACUUCAAAUGCAGAAUCUCUAGGGGUGGGGUCUUGACCUCAGAGUUUUAAAAGCGCUCCAGGUGAUUCAAGGUGCAGAGAGAGUUGAGACCCACACCACCAGUGGCAGCUGGUGACAGCCUCAGCUUUUUGCUUCCGUGUCACGGUUGGCGCUGCAGCUCUGGGAUUCAUUCAUUCAUAUAGCUCGUAUUUAUUGAGCACCUACCAUAUGCCUGGAACGGUGCUAGGGAAACAGCAGUGUUAAACAGGUGAAGUCCUGCCCGCAUGAAGUUUUACAUUGUAGUUCAGGACACAAUAAGCAGCUUAGCCCAAAACAGAGCCAAGCCAGCCUACCUAAAGGAGCAGGAGCAUGCCCAGUGGCAUCAUUGUGACUGUACUGCUGAUUGGCUGGCAGCCUGGGGAGUGUCUGCCCCAGGUUAUACGAUACCCAGGGCCCUCACAUCAUUCAUGGUGGUCUUCACUGGCCCAAAGUGUAAAGAUCUUUAAGGCAAGAAUCUUAUCUAGUCCCAAUUCUACAAACCCCGUGAACUUUCUAAAGCUGUACUCCCUGCAUAUUUUUAGUAUGAGCUUCCUGAAAAUAGAGAUGAUGCCAUUUUUAUCUUUCCCUCUCUCCCCUACCAGUGUCUAGCAUAGUUCUUGGCCCAUAAAAAACACUCAGUAAAUGUCUGAAUGGAUAAGUAAAUAAUUGGUUGUGGCUCAUGAGACACAGAUAAUUUGAAUAUAGUUUCAGAUGUAGCAGAACUAGAUGAAGAGAAGUUGUGAAGAGUGAGAAAGGAAUAUUUGUGUGUCCUGAGUGGUGAGAAUUGAUUUGAGAGCUUACCAUGUUUGGGAAAUUGCAGGAUCUAUGGAAGAAGGCCAUAACCUGGCCUUCACCACCAAGGAGCUUACAGUUGAGCAGUCAGAGGCUCCAUCCUUGGGGAGGUGAGAGAGCGUAACGUUCACUUGCUUGAUUGUUAGUGUAAGAGGAGCCAGCAAAGGAGGAAAGAGUUUUCUCUUUCGGAGUUGUCAUCACCUAGGGCAGUCGUUUCUGAUCAGUCAAAGGCCCACACAGGUUUGAGUCCCAGCUACAGAUGCAACUCAUGGCUGUGUUAGUGAUUCUGUAGCAGCUGAUGAAUGCAUUCCUGGUAGAGUGAACAAGUGCACGAUGGCAGCAGGUCCAUUACUCAGGACCACUGUUGCGGUACCUCAUCCUAAUGUCACCUGAGAAUGCACCUGGCCUUAGUAAAUCUUUGUGGUAAUUUUUGAAGGGCGCAAUUCCUUGCUGGAAUUGAAAACACUAUUGUGAGUCACUCCUACUGACACCCCCAGAUCAUUUAUAAAGACCUUGAGAAAGCAAGAUGAUUCUGGUAGGCUCUUCAUUAAACUGGCAGCAGGAGGUGGGGCUUAGAUCCAGUUGACUGACUAGUAUGGAGCUCCUCCUUGGUUAAGCCGGUUGCCAGAAGACAGAACUGGAGGGGAAAGUAGCUCUCCUCAUGCCGUCUUUCCAUUCCCGUAGAGGAGAGAGGCAGUCAGUCCUCCUCUCAGCCUCUUGGCUUCCUUCGUCCUAAUGAUCACCCUGAAAGGUGCACAGCGCACCUUUGCCGGCGUGAUCUCAUUUAAUCCUUAGUACAGCUGAGUGGUAGCCAUUACUGUUCCCAUUUUACAGAUGAGGAAACAAAUCAGAAAAACAAGACAACGCACUGGGGGUUCCGUAGCCAUAAAAGACAAGCCAAGUGAGAAACAGCCUCAGCCCCUCUGGCCCUAGUGUGCAUCGUCUCCUGGGUGCCUGGCCUUUCCUCAGCUGCUGUUCCAAGUUAUUGUUAGAACAACCUCUUAUUCCAUGAACGUCAAACCACUUCCUUCCCCUGGUUGCCUGUUCAAACCUUUUUGGGCCAUAGAUAGUUUGGGCAGCAAAUGGAACUCCCUGCGUUUACCCACCUAUUCUUUGCCCCAGCCACUACCAGUCCAGAUGGGAAGAAAGAUGGUCCUGGGUGGGACACCAGGCGGAGAAAAGCUGGGUUAACUAAAGGGCAAAUCAAUAAUUCAUACACAAAACCAGAGUACAAAAACCACUGCCUCCAUUUAUUCCACCUCAGAUUGCCCUCUGGGGAGUCUUGUGGUCCACCCUAAACCCACCAAGUGGGGAGGUGGUGGUGGGAGCAGGAACACACGUAACUCCUCUUACACCCCGUAUCCUAUUGUGUAGUUUUAAAAAGUCAGUGUUUAUGGGCUUUGCCAAUUUUGAAUACAGUUUGUCUAAGAACACGUGUUUCCUACAGCGCUGAGAGCUUAAUAAAAGAAUUGCAACGUGGGGGAAGGUGGCACAACAACUGUAAUUGUUGACCUAACAACAGAGAAAGGAGCAGAUCUUUCUAAUGAGUUCAUUAGGUGCUUCCUAAAACAUCCCGGACUGCACACCAGCACCCACUUAGGUAGCACAAGGUGCAACUCCGAGGGGCGUCCUAGAAGAGCUGCUGCUCUUCGCCCACCAGGGAGUUCUAACUGUAUUGUAUGCAAGUUUAAGUAUAAUAAUAUUGGCCCGGUUUGAAAGAAGUUAAACUUUUUCUUGGGUUUCUAAUAAGGUAAAUGGUAUUUCCACCUUCUCAGAGGAGAAUUCAAAGGUUUUUUUGAUUCUGUUUUCUCAGUCAUCCAUUUGAGGCCUGGUCCUUGGCAUUCCUCAGUGUGGCAGGGAGCUAGCUCCCAAGCCACCUGGCAUAUGCUGGCCACGGUGAAGCCAUCUCAACGUUGCUCACCCCCACUUGUGGGCCCCCUGAAGUUAUGCUUUUGAAGAGUGUCCUAAGAACAGAUUAUCCUAUUUUUAGUUAUGUAUUGAGCCCAUUGAAAACCUGGAGUUGUAAGGAGAAUCAUCUCUAAGAGGGAAUGCAAACAUCUCCAUCUUUUUUUCUCUCCCAAUUCUGAAUGGCGCCAGUGUGAGCUAGGGUAGUAUUCACACCGGGGGGUGGCGUUUAUCUCUGCAUAUGUAAAGCUGCAGUGCUCCACCUGAAGGGAUAAAUUCUUGGCCACUUCUGGUGGGUCACUACUUUAUUCAAAGAUGUUUGGGGUCUGCCCGUUGCCUCCUGGACAGGUGGCAGGCAACUGUGUGAGACCUGCAGUGCCUCUGAUCCUUGGUCCCAGCCUGUGUUUCCAACCUUGCCUCGCACCACCCCAACAUGAGCCCCAGGCUCAGCAAGGGUGUCUUCUCAUGGUCUCCCAAACUGGCCAUGGUACAAGCAAUUUUGAUCCUUUGAGACUUAAGUGUGCUGUGGAUCACUGCACCCCUACAACCGCAAAAAACCCAAACACAGAGUUUGUCAAGAAUUUGGUGGCUUCCCAGGCUCUUGGAGCCCUCCCUGGGUUCCCCUUAAAAGCCCUGUCUGCCUAAAACACUCUUGUCCUGUGCCUCUUCAUGCCUCAUCCUCCCAGUCAUUUCUGGUCCCUGUGUCACUCAUGCCCAGGUUGGCACUCCUCACUCUGUGCACUGUCGCUGCAGUGAAACUCAGCCCUUUCCUGCCACACCUCCCCAUCAGCACAGCCAGGUGCCCAACUCCCACCUCGGGUCUCGUGCAGCGGCCCAUGCUCCGCAGAUCUGGCUCUCACUUGCACAUUGCCCCGGGCAGGGUUGGUUUCUAAUUCAUGUGUAUCUUGUCUCUGUAGUGUGCCUGCCAGCUUCUCCACAGCCGGCCUGGGUCGUCUUCUUUGUGGCCCCUCACCGUCCCCUAGUGGAGCACUCUUUCUAUAGUAGGUGCUCAAGAAAUACAUUUUCAACUCAAUUGAAGGGAAUAGGCUCCCAUAACAGAAUGAACUCAUUUCAGAAGUUUGUUACCAAGUCUUGAAAACCUUUUUUUAUAGAUCCUCCUGGACCGAAUCCAGCUCUACCUUAAUUAGCAAAGCAAUUUGCAACACCCUUUCCCAAAAGUGCUUAUGCGUCCCUUUGUGUGACUAGAAUAGGGGCGGCUGUACCAAUUGCUGUCACCACCCAAAAUUCAAUUUGGAAAAUCGAAAUCAGUGCCUGCAGCACUGAUGGAGAUUUGUAUGUAUAAAAGUUUAAUAUGGUAAAGAGAAAUUUACUGACGACUGAGCGGGGGAAAUGCAAAAGGAGCAAAAAUAGAGCUAUAAAGGACACUCGUCAGAUGAACAUCUAUUUUAUUCACAUUUGGGGAGCAGUGCUGAAUUUUUCAUAAUGUCCCCACUGCUGCCUUUUCAAACCCAGCACUGCUAUUAGUCCUAAAACGUCCGUGAUCUCAUUAGGUGUGAAUGCAAAAUCAGGUAAUUUAAAGCAUGUAUUAAGAAUAUUUCUAAAAAUGCACCAUCCAUUUCAUCAGAAAAACUGCAUUUCAGAGCUCAGGAAUGUUAGUGCUGGAGUCUGUGAAUAAAGUGUAAGCUAUAGGAACGUGGUGAGGCUUCUGGAAUUCGACAGAUGUCUCCACUGACAUCCUUUUAAGUAGUAAGCAUGACUUUUUUAAUUGCUGAGCUUGAGUUAUCUGUGGCUAGGAACCCAGCAUUGACCAAGGCUUCAUCACUCCUCAAGCAGUAAGAACUUGGCUAGAAAUGGGCAUGUCUCAAACUCCUGUCACCUCCACUGAGCUGCUUUUACAGCCUCAGUUAGACACCUUCUGACCUCAGACGGGAAACUGGAUGGCAAGUCUGUUUUAGGACUCAGGUGUUUGGUUUUCUUUCUCAGAUUACAACUGAGUCCAGGAAUUCUGGGAACUCUCUAGGAGACUGUCUCUUUCACACAGAGGAAGUUUCAGAAGUGAGAGUGGUCGGGUGCGGUGGCUCAAGCCUGUAAUCCCAGCACCUUGGGAGGCCGAGGUGGGCGGAUCACAAGGUCAGGAGAUCGAGACCAUCCUGGCUAACACGGUGAAACCCCAUCUCUAGUAAAAAUACAAAAAAUUAGCCAGGCGUGGUAGUGGGCGCCUAUAGUUCCAGCUACUUGGGAGGCUGAGGCAGGAGAAUGGCAUGAACCCGGGAGGCGGAGCUUGCAGUGAGCCAAGAUUGUGCCACUGCACUCCAGCCUGGGCGACAGAGUGAGACUCCAUCUAAAAAAAAAAAAAAA